rnacentral:rRNA from 1 species
CCAUCAUUUAGUUGGGCACUCUAAGGUGACUGCCGGUGACAAACCGGAGGAAGGUGGGGAUGACGUCAAAUCAUCAUGCCCCUUAUGACCUGGGCUACACACGUGCUACAAUGGACGGUACAAAGAGCUGCAAGACCGCGAGGUGGAGCUAAUCUCAUAAAACCGUUCUCAGUUCGGAUUGUAGGCUGCAACUAGCCUACAUGAAGCUGGAAUCGCUAGUAAUCGCGGAUCAGCAUGCCGCGGUGAAUACGUUCCCGGGCCUUGUACACACCGCCCGUCACACCACGAGAGUUUGUAACACCCGAAGUCGGUGGGGUAACCUUUUUGGAGCCAGCCGCCUAAGGUGGGACAGA